AUUGAACGCUGGCGGCAGGCUUAACACAUGCAAGUCGGACGGUAACAGGGAGGAAGCUUGCUUUCUUUGCUGACGAGUGGCGGACGGGUGAGUAAUGCUUGGGAAUCUGUUUUAUGGAGGGGGAUAACUACGGGAAACUGUAGCUAAUACCGCGUAAUAUCGAGAGAUUAAAGUGUGGGACCGUAAGGCCACAUGCCAUAGAGUGAGCCCAAGUGGGAUUAGGUAGUUGGUGGGGUAAAGGCCUACCAAGCCGUCGAUCUCUAGCUGGUCUGAGAGGAUGACCAGCCACACUGGGACUGAGACACGGCCCAGACUCCUACGGGAGGCAGCAGUGGGGAAUAUUGCACAAUGGGCGCAAGCCUGAUGCAGCCAUGCCGCGUGAAUGAAGAAGGCCUUCGGGUUGUAAAGUCCUUUCGGUGGUGAGGAAGGUUGUAAUGUUAAUAGCAUUAUAAUUUGACGUUAGCCACAGAAGAAGCACCGGCUAACUCCGUGCCAGCAGCCGCGGUAAUACGGAGGGUGCGAGCGUUAAUCGGAAUAACUGGGCGUAAAGGGCACGCAGGCGGAUACUUAAGUGAGGUGUGAAAGCCCUGGGCUUAACCUAGGAAUUGCAUUUCAUACUGGGUAUCUAGAGUAUUUUAGGGAGGGGUAGAAUUCCACGUGUAGCGGUGAAAUGCGUAGAGAUGUGGAGGAAUACCGAAGGCGAAGGCAGCCCCUUGGGGGAAUACUGACGCUCAUGUGCGAAAGCGUGGGGAGCAAACAGG
rnacentral:rRNA from 1 species